rnacentral:rRNA from 1 species
GGAAACUCGCCUUGAGAUGAGAUUUCCCGGAGCCUUGAGCUCCUUGAAGGGUCGUUCGAGACCAGGACGUUGAUAGGUCGGGUGUGGAAGUGCAGUAAUGCAUUAAGCUAACCGAUACUAAUUGCCCGUACGGCUUGUCCCU